rnacentral:rRNA from 1 species
UACGUAGGGUGCGAGCGUUAAUCGGAAUUACUGGGCGUAAAGCGUGCGCAGGCGGUUCGUUGUGUCGGUGGUGAAAGCCCCGGGCUCAACCUGGGAAUGGCCAUGGAAACUGGCGAACUGGAGUGUGGCAGAGGGGGGUGGAAUUCCGCGUGUAGCAGUGAAAUGCGUAGAGAUGUGGAGGAAUACCGAUGGCGAAGGCAGCCCCCUGGGCCAAUACUGACGCUCAUGCACGAAAGCGUGGGGAGCAAACAGG